GAUUAACGCUGGCGGCGUGCAUAACACAUGCAAGUCGAACGAUGAAACUUAAAUGAUUUCUUCGGAAUGAACUUAAGUGGAUUAGUGGCGGACGGGUGAGUAACGCGUGAGUAACCUGCCUUACACAAGGGGAUAGCCGUUGGAAACGACGAAUAAUACCCUAUGAAACUAUCACUUCGCAUGAAGCGAUAGUCAAAGUGUUAGCGGUGUAAGAUGGACUUGCGUCUGAUUAGCUAGUUGGUGAGAAAAAAGCCCACCAAGGUAACGAUCAGUAGCCGGCUUGAGAGAGUGUACGGCCACAUUGGGACUGAGACACGGCCCAGACUCCUACGGGAGGCAGCAGUGGGGAAUUUUGCACAAUGGGGGAAACCCUGAUGCAGCGACGCCGCGUGAUUGAGAAGGCCUUCGGGUUGUAAAAAUCUUUUGUAUAGGAAGAAAAUGACAGUACUAUACGAAUAAGGUCCGGCUAAUUACGUG
rnacentral:rRNA from 1 species